rnacentral:rRNA from 1 species
GCAGUCUAUGAGGAAGUUAGCUUGCUNAAUGGACUCAUGGCGGACGGGUGAGUAACGCGUAAAGAACUUGCCCUUUAGACUGGGAUAACAGAGGGAAACUUCUGAUAAUACUGGAUAAGUUAGUAUAUCGCAUGAUAUGCAAAUGAAAGCUACGGCACUAAAGGAGAGCUUUGCGUCCUAUUAGCUAGUUGGUAAGGUAAGAGCUUACCAAGGCGAUGAUAGGUAGCCGGCCUGAGAGGGUGGACGGCCACAAGGGGACUGAGAUACGGCCCUUACUCCUACGGGAGGCAGCAGUGGGGAAUAUUGGACAGUGGAGGGAACUCUGAUCCAGCAAUUCUGUGUGUGUGAAGAAGGUUUUAGGACUGUAAAACACUUUUAGUAGGGAAGAAAAAAAUGACGGUACCUACAGAAGAAGCAACGGCUAAAUACGUGCCAGCAGCCGCGGUAAUACGUAUGUUGCGAGCGUUAUCCGGAAUUAUUGGGCUUAAAGGGCAUCUAGGCGGUAAGACAAGUUGAAGGUGAAAACCUGUGGCUCAACCAUAGGCUUGCCUACAAAACUGUUGAACUAGAGUACUGGAAAGGUGGGUGGAACUACACGAGUAGAGGUGAAAUUCGUAGAUAUGUGUAGGAAUGCCGAUGAUGAAGAUAACUCACUGGACAGAAACUGACGCUGAAGUGCGAAAGCUAGGGGAGCAAACAGGAUUAGAUACCCUGGUAGUCC